rnacentral:rRNA from 1 species
ACGAACGCUGGCGGCGUGCUUAACACAUGCCAGUCGCACGGAAAGGCCCUGCUUUUGUGGGGUGCUCGCGUGGCGAACGGGUGAGUAACACGUGAGUAACCUGCCCUUGACUUUGGGAUAACUUCAGGAAACUGGGGCUAAUACCGGAUAGGAGCUCCUGCUGCAUGGUGGGGGUUGGAAAGUUUCGGCGGUUGGGGAUGGACUCGCGGCUUAUCAGCUUGUUGGUGGGGUAGUGGCUUACCAAGGCUUUGACGGGUAGCCGGCCAGAGAGGGUGACCGGCCACAUUGGGACUGAGAUACGGCCCAGACUCCUACGGGAGGCAGCAGUGGGGAAUAUUGCACAAUGGGCGGAAGCCUGAUGCAGCAACGCCGCGUGCGGGAUGACGGCCUUCGGGUUGUAAACCGCUUUCGCCUGUGACGAAGCGUGAGUGACGGUAAUGGGUAAAGAAGCACCGGCUAACUACGUG